GACAGAGGUCCCAAGGCGUUAGGCGGAAUCACUGGGCUUAAAGCGUGUGUAGGCGGAUCCGUAAGUACCUUGUGAAAUCCCACGGCUCAACCGUGGAACUGCUGGGUAUACUGCGGGUCUUGAGCCACCUAGGGGCGAGCGGAACAAGUGGUGGAGCGGUGAAAUGCGUAGAUAUCAUUUGGAACGCCAAUGGUGAAAACAGGUAGCUGGGGCUGUGCUGACGCUGAGACACGAAAGCCAGGGGAGCAAACGGG
rnacentral:rRNA from 1 species